rnacentral:tRNA from 1 species
AGCGUCUGUCUCGCAAACAGAAGGUCUGCGGUUCAAUCCCGCAUGGAGUCA